AUUGAACGCUGGCGGCAGGCUUAACACAUGCAAGUCGAGCGAGCGGCGGACGGGUGAGUCAUGUCUGGGAAACUUCCUGAUGGAGGGGGAUAACUACUGGAAACGGUAGCUACUACCGCAUACCAUCAGCUGUGCCCAGAUGGGAUUAGCUAGUGGGUGGGGUAAUGGCUAACCUAGGCGCCGAUCCCUAGCUGGUCGGAGAGGAGGACCAGCAACACGGGAACUGGGACACGGUCCAGACUCCUACGGGAGGCAGCAGUGGGGAAUAUUGGACAAUGGGCGCAAGCCGGAUGCAGCAAUGCCGCGUGUGUGAAGAAGGCCUUCGGGUUGUAAAGCACUUUCAGCGAGGAGGCGGUACUCGCAGAAGAAGCGCCGGCUAACUCCGUGCCAGCAGCCGCGGUAAUUC
rnacentral:rRNA from 1 species